UUUAGGAAGUUUAAAAUAUUGAACAGGAGAAUUUUCAGUACAAAUAAUAGCUUUACUUAUACCUUCUUGAAAAUAAGAUAAUAAGAGAAAUAGUGUUAAAGUUCUAGAAUAUAUUUGCAUUUAUUACUUUAUAAAAUUAAUGUUUAAAAAUU
ensembl:ncRNA T20F10.9 ncRNA